AGCGAACGCUGGCGGCAUGCCUAACACAUGCAAGUCGCACGGGGGGGCUUCGGCCUCCCAGUGGCGGACGGGUGAGGAACGCGUAGGGACCUGUCGAGGGGUGGGGGAUAACCGCGGGAAACUGCGGCUAAUACCGCAUGACGCCGCGGCGUGACAGCCGGGGCCAAAGGCGAAAGCCGCCCGCCGAGGGGCCUGCGUCCGAUUAGCUGGUUGGCGGGGUAGCGGCCCACCAAGGCGUCGAUCGGUAGCUGGUCUGAGAGGGUGAUCAGCCACACCGGGACUGAGACACGGCCCGGACUCCUACGGGAGGCAGCAGUGGGGAAUAUUGGACAAUGGGCGCAAGCCUGAUCCAGCAAUGCCGCGUGGGUGAAGAAGGUCUGCGGAUUGUAAAGCCCUUUCGGCGGGGACGAUGGUGACGGUACCAGCAGAAGAAGCCCCGGCUAACUUCGUG
rnacentral:rRNA from 1 species